AUCUCUUUAUUUCAGUGUGGCUGUGAAUGAGCCAAUGCCUGACUCUUAGGCAGCCGUGCUGAGCACUUCCUGUGGAGGUAACUUUAGUCUAAUGUGUUUGUACUUUGUACUCUUUUCGUGAGCUCCAGAACUCCUCCGACAGUUUGACUUCCUUGAUGUUCUGACAGUGGUAGAGACAGAGUGAUGGAGUCCGUGCCUAUGGAAGAUCAGAACUGGAGAGGAGAUUCAGAAAGAGCUUCGAGCGAUGGUCACCCCGCAGCGAAUACCACAUAUGAGAUGAUCACUCAAAGUUUAUGUGAAGAAACUUGAUUCCCAGAAAACUGCAUGUAAUCGUCACUGAGCGUUAUUUGUGAGGUAUGCAUGUAAUCACUGAGAAUCUUACCUUCUGUCUAUAAAUCCCACAUGCCUCAACCCACAACUUUGAAGACUGAACUUCAUUCAAGACCUCAAGAUAUACUUUGCCCAUGCUCUGCGCCCUGACCUCCCUAGGAGUCUAACCAAAUGCAUCCACUUCUGUCUCCCGAGAUUCUAGGCUGCACACAAUCCCUGUUAGUGAAUAGCCACUGAACAGCUCUGGAGGAAACCGGGAAAGAUUUCAGAUGCCCUCAUUUGAAAUAGCACACCUUCCUUCUGCUGUCUUCAGUUGUUCCUUGCCUCCUAGUCCUGAGUUCCAUAAGUUACAUGGUAUUUUUGCCUCCCUAGCUUACUUUCUAUUGAGAGCACCAGAAUGUCACUUCACUGGGAGUGGCCAUUUUGUGUUUAGUCCCCAAGUCUGGCACAUCUCAAUCUCUUCUUUCUAGUCAGCAUCUUCUAUCUUCUUCCAGAAUCAGCCUCCUUUGCCUCCAGCACCUCCUAGAACACUCAGCUGUGCAGUUUCUGUGUUUACAGUUUAGCACGGGUUCGUCAUAUUUACUUGAAGGGGAAGGUUUCAAUUAUGCCGCAGCCGGCUCACUCUCUUAACUCCCACUCACUACCCGCUCUCCUUCACCUAGACUUCUAAAUCUUAGUCAACUUCGUGGAAGGAAGACAAUAAAAGAUCCUUCUGGGUUGGACCAA